UGGCUCAGUGGUAAAGAAUCUGCUUGCUAAGCAGGAGAUGCAGGUUCAGUUCCUGU
rnacentral:tRNA from 1 species